rnacentral:lncRNA from 1 species
CGAGGUGCAGUGCGAGGUGUAAUAAGGGCUGUGAGGUAGGAUGGUGCUACUCCAUGUUUGGCUUUGUAGGCCAGCAUCAGUAUUUUGAACCUGAUGCAUGCAGCUACUGGGAGCCAGUGGAGGAAGGUAGCAGAGGGGCGGUGUGGGAGAAUUUGGGAAUUUUGGUAGACCAGCUAGAAGGGAGUUACAGUAAUCUAGUCAUGAGAUUACUGAACCAGUAUUUGGGUGGCCUGUGUUGAUAGAUAAGGGCGGAUCUGUCUGAAAUUGUAGAGAAAAAAAUCUAUAUGAGCAGGAAAGAUUGGUAAUGUGAGUCGAGAAGGAGAGUUGCUUGUCUAUAGUUACUCCAAGGUUGCGUGCAGUAGAAGAAGCAGAAAUAUGAGACUUGUUCAGGUAGAUAGCAAGAGCCUGAUGAGGUGAAGAAUCUGCAGGAAUUAAUAUUAAUUCUCAUCGGCGCCAGUGCUGGGUCUUCUUGCCCUGAUUUUUGUUUUACAUUUGUGAAGCCCACCUAAAACCCACAUGGGGCCACCAUGGUCCCCACCAGCUCAUAUCGCACCCAAAUGGGCCCCACUUGAACGUGUUGGCUGGGAGGGUUACCAGAUCUCCUCUUUUCCUUGAUCAUGUCCAGUCGGCUGUUUGAGGUAAUUAAACAAUUGUCACUUCAUGGGAUUCCUACAAGUAUGUUCAUGAUAGUAAUAAAACAGCGUUAAAGAUAUUCUGGCAGUGUUCACCCCCUGCAGCUACAAUCUUCACUAUAGUGAACAGUCUGGACACACCUCUGGACUCGAGACAAAACAUCUGCAACUUGUUCACAUUUGUUGUUCUAAUGUGAUUUUAUUUGUUCCAGCUCCUCCAAUGCCACAGAACUUGACUGUGUCCUCAGUUUCUGCUACAUCUGCUAAACUCAGCUGGAGUCUCCCUGAUGAGGUGGGAGGGUACUUCUGGAGUAAACGGGGGAAGAAGGUUCCAUAUAGUUUCUUGAUCUCCUACCACAGUGAAAAAAGUGGGACAAAUCAGUCCUCAACAGGGGACAACAGUACAGAAAUCACUGGUCUGACACCGUAUACGGAGUACACUGUCAGUGUUCGUACUGUGAACAGACAUGGAGUACAGAGUUCACCUGCUUCUUCACGCUUCUACACAGUUCUACCAGCUCCAGAGAUGUUGACUGUGGUCUCAGUUUCUGCUACAUCUGCUAAGAUCAGCUGGAUUCCACCACAUGGGAUGGAUCAGAUUGCACCCAGUUUCCUGAUCUCUUACUGGAGUAAAGAGAGUAAACCAGAUAAACCAUCUCUACAAAUUCAUAAGUCCAUCUCUACAAAUUCAUCCAGCAGAGAAAUCACAGAUCUGAAACCAGACACUCCGUACACUCUUACUGUCGGUACUGAGGUUAAACACGGAGGGAGGAGUCAACCUGCUACUGUUACCUUCAAUACUGAAACCAAACCAGCGAUCCUGGUGGUGAUGCACCACACCUUAAGUAGAGAUGUUUUUCCAGACAGCAGCAGAUUCGUUACAGGAGAGCAAGUUCUGAUCACAGUGGACUGUCUUUUCCAAGAGGAUCAGGGUCUGCUGAGAUGUAAACAGAACGACACGUCGUUCACACAGAUUCAGAACAUCCUGGCACAUCUGGUAAAUAAAUUUACACCCAGCAAGCAAGAUCAUGUCUAGAUGGAGGAAUGAUACCACACUUCCUUGGUGUUUAUAGACGUCAGCGAUGCGUCAUGGUGAAGCUGAGGUCCCAUAAACCAGUGUGGAGAAAACACAUUUGUUCUCCAUCUGUUCUGUAAUAAUAACCUAGAACCUGCUGGUGGUUUUGAAGUAUGUAUCUCAGUUUAAGCUGGAAGACAAGAGGGUCAUACAAGGAAGUGAUUUAUUAACUAAUAUUACAUUUUUCCAUCCAAGAUUUUUUUUCUGUCCAUUGUCACCACCUUUAAUUCAUCUCUGGUGAAGCACUCUGCAUUGGUGUUGGAGAUGAGAAGCAAACAUGUUUGUGUUUGAUUUGAACCUGAAUGUCUGUAUGUUGUGGUGUAAAGUUCAGGGUUAAUCUUUGUGGACAAUGUGUUUGGUCUACAGCAGUAUAUUCUUCUGUUUCUGUCUUCAGUUCUCCUGAAUUUUCCUCUUUGUGAUUAUUAAAGUGUUUGUAUUAACUUUAAUUAUGACUGUGAUCAUUAUGAGAAUUUCUGUACCUGUGAUUCAUGGACCCAGUCAUGGCCAUUGUGUUCGUUUUUUUUAUUUGUAUGACCUUUUCUCUUAUUGAAAUUUAUUUUA